GCCUUGAUGGAUAGCUCAGUUGGUAGAGCAUGAGACUCUUAAUCUCAGGGCAGUGGGUUCAAACCCCACGUUGGGCA